UUUUGGACAAUGGGCGCAAGCCUGAUCCAGCCAUGCCGCGUGCAGGAAGAAGGCCUUCGGGUUGUAAACUGCUUUUGUCAGGGAAGAAAUCCUCUGGGUUAAUACCUCGGAGGGAUGACGGUACCUGAAGAAUAAGCACCGGCUAACUACGUGCCAGCAGCCGCGGUAAUACGUAGGGUGCGAGCGUUAAUCGGAAUUACUGGGCGUAAAGCGUGCGCAGGCGGCUUUGCAAGACAGAUGUGAAAUCCCCGGGCUCAACCUGGGAACUGCAUUUGUGACUGCAAGGCUAGAGUGCGGCAGAGGGAGAUGGAAUUCCGCGUGUAGCAGUGAAAUGCGUAGAUAUGCGGAGGAACACCGAUGGCGAAGGCAAUCUCCUGGGCCUGCACUGACGCUCAUGCACGAAA
rnacentral:rRNA from 1 species